rnacentral:rRNA from 1 species
GUGAGGAAUUUUCCGCAAUGGGCGAAAGCCUGACGGAGCAAUGCCGCGUGAAGGAUGAAGGCCUAUGGGUUGUAAACUUCUUUUCUCAGAAAAGAAUUAUGACGGUAUCUGAGGAAUAAGCAUCGGCUAACUCUGUGCCAGCAGCCGCGGUAAGACAGAGGAUGCAAGCGUUAUCCGGAAUGAUUGGGCGUAAAGCGUCUGUAGGUUGUUUAAAAAGUAUUCUGUCAAAGAUUAGGGCUUAACCCUAGAUAGUCAGAAUAAACUUUUAAGCUAGAGUUUGGUAGAGGCAGAGGGAAUUCCCGGUGGAGCGGUGAAAUGCGUAGAUAUCGGGAGGAACACCAAAGGCGAAGGCACUCUGCUGGGCCAAUACUAACACUGAGAGACGAAAGCGAGGGGAGCAAAUGGGAUUAGAAACCCCUGUAGUCC